rnacentral:rRNA from 1 species
CUACGAGUUUGAUCCUGGCUCAGAACGAACGCUGGCGGCAGGCCUAACACAUGCAAGUCGAGCGAACCCUUCGGGGUUAGCGGCGGACGGGUUAGUAACGCGUGGGAAUAUACCCUUUGGUACGGAAUAGCCUCGGGAAACUGAGAGUAAUACCGUAUGUGCCCUUCGGGGGAAAGAUUUAUCGCCAAAGGAUUAGCCCGCGUUGGAUUAGAUAGUUGGUGGGGUAAUGGCCUACCAAGUCUACGAUCCAUAGCUGGUUUGAGAGGAUGAUCAGCAACACUGGGACUGAGACACGGCCCAGACUCCUACGGGAGGCAGCAGUGGGGAAUCUUAGACAAUGGGCGCAAGCCUGAUCUAGCCAUGCCGCGUGGACGAUGAAGGCCUUAGGGUUGUAAAGUCCUUUCAGAUGGGAAGAUAAUGACGGUACCAUCAGAAGAAGCCCCGGCUAACUCCGUG